UAGGGAAUAUUAGUAAUGGGCGAAAGCCUGAACUAGCAACACCGCGUGUGCGAAGAAGGCCUUCGGGUUGUAAAGCACUUUUUGAGAGGAUGAGGGAGGACGGUACUCUCAGAAUAAGUCUCGGCUAACUACGUGCCAGCAGCCGCGGUAACACGUAGGAGGCAAACGUUAUCCGGAUUUACUGGGCGUAAAGCGCGUGUAGGUGGUUUGGUAAGUAGGGCGUGAAAGCUCCUGGCUCAACUGGGAGAGGCCGUUCUAAACUACAGAACUAGAGGAUGGUAGAGGGAGGUGGAAUUCCGGGUGUAGCGGUGGAAUGCGCAGAUAUCCGGAGGAACACCAGUGGCGAAGGCGGCCUUCUGGACCAUUCCUGACACUCAGACGCGAAAGCUAGGGUAGCAAACG
rnacentral:rRNA from 1 species